rnacentral:rRNA from 1 species
UACGUAGGGGGCUAGCGUUGUCCGGAUUUAUUGGGCGUAAAGAGCGUGUAGGCGGCCAGGUAGGUCUGCUGUGAAAACUCGAGGCUCAACCUCGAGACGCCGGUGGAAACCGUAAGGCUAGAGUCCGGAAGAGGAGAGUGGAAUUCCUGGUGUAGCGGUGAAAUGCGCAGAUAUCAGGAAGAACACCCGUGGCGAAGGCGGCUCUCUGGGACGGUACUGACGCUGAGACGCGAAAGCGUGGGGAGCGAACAGG